CGGGACACGUGGUAUCCUGUCUGAAUAUGGGGGGACCAUCCUCCAAGGCUAAAUACUCCUGACUGACCGAUAGUGAACCAGUACCGUGAGGGAAAGGCGAAAAGAACCCCGGCGAGGGGAGUGAAAAAGAACCUGAAACCGUGUACGUACAAGCAGUGGGAGCACGCUUAGGCGUGUGACUGCGUACCUUUUGUAUAAUGGGUCAGCGACUUAUAUUCUGUAGCAAGGUUAACCGAAUAGGGGAGCCGAAGGGAAACCGAGUCUUAACUGGGCGUUAAGUUGCAGGGUAUAGACCCGAAACCCGGUGAUCUAGCCAUGGGCAGGUUGAAGGUUGGGUAACACUAACUGGAGGACCGAACCGACUAAUGUUGAAAAAUUAGCGGAUGACUUGUGGCUGGGGGUGAAAGGCCAAUCAAACCGGGAGAUAGCUGGUUCUCCCCGAAAGCUAUUUAGGUAGCGCCUCGUGAAUUCAUCUCCGGGGGUAGAGCACUGUUUCGGCAAGGGGGUCAUCCCGACUUACCAACCCGAUGCAAACUGCGAAUACCGGAGAAUGUUAUCACGGGAGACACACGGCGGGUGCUAACGUCCGUCGUGAAGAGGGAAACAACCCAGACCGCCAGCUAAGGUCCCAAAGUCAUGGUUAAGUGGGAAACGAUGUGGGAAGGCCCAGACAGCCAGGAUGUUGGCUUAGAAGCAGCCAUCAUUUAAAGAAAGCGUAAUAGCUCACUGGUCGAGUCGGCCUGCGCGGAAGAUGUAACGGGGCUAAACCAUGCACCGAAGCUGCGGCAGCGACGCUUAUGCGUUGUUGGGUAGGGGAGCGUUCUGUAAGCCUGUGAAGGUGUGCUGUGAGGCAUGCUGGAGGUAUCAGAAGUGCGAAUGCUGACAUAAGUAACGAUAAAGCGGGUGAAAAGCCCGCUCGCCGGAAGACCAAGGGUUCCUGUCCAACGUUAAUCGGGGCAGGGUGAGUCGACCCCUAAGGCGAGGCCGAAAGGCGUAGUCGAUGGGAAACAGGUUAAUAUUCCUGUACUUGGUGUUACUGCGAAGGGGGGACGGAGAAGGCUAUGUUGGCCGGGCGACGGUUGUCCCGGUUUAAGCGUGUAGGCUGGUUUUCCAGGCAAAUCCGGAAAAUCAAGGCUGAGGCGUGAUGACGAGGCACUACGGUGCUGAAGCAACAAAUGCCCUGCUUCCAGGAAAAGCCUCUAAGCAUCAGGUAACAUCAAAUCGUACCCCAAACCGACACAGGUGGUCAGGUAGAGAAUACCAAGGCGCUUGAGAGAACUCGGGUGAAGGAACUAGGCAAAAUGGUGCCGUAACUUCGGGAGAAGGCACGCUGAUAUGUAGGUGAAGUCCCUCGCGGAUGGAGCUGAAAUCAGUCGAAGAUACCAGCUGGCUGCAACUGUUUAUUAAAAACACAGCACUGUGCAAACACGAAAGUGGACGUAUACGGUGUGACGCCUGCCCGGUGCCGGAAGGUUAAUUGAUGGGGUCAGCGCAAGCGAAGCUCUUGAUCGAAGCCCCGGUAAACGGCGGCCGUAACUAUAACGGUCCUAAGGUAGCGAAAUUCCUUGUCGGGUAAGUUCCGACCUGCACGAAUGGCGUAAUGAUGGCCAGGCUGUCUCCACCCGAGACUCAGUGAAAUUGAACUCGCUGUGAAGAUGCAGUGUACCCGCGGCAAGACGGAAAGACCCCGUGAACCUUUACUAUAGCUUGACACUGAACAUUGAGCCUUGAUGUGUAGGAUAGGUGGGAGGCUUAGAAGUGUGGACGCCAGUCUGCAUGGAGCCGACCUUGAAAUACCACCCUUUAAUGUUUGAUGUUCUAACGUUGACCCGUAAUCCGGGUUGCGGACAGUGUCUGGUGGGUAGUUUGACUGGGGCGGUCUCCUCCUAAAGAGUAACGGAGGAGCACGAAGGUUGGCUAAUCCUGGUCGGACAUCAGGAGGUUAGUGCAAUGGCAUAAGCCAGCUUGACUGCGAGCGUGACGGCGCGAGCAGGUGCGAAAGCAGGUCAUAGUGAUCCGGUGGUUCUGAAUGGAAGGGCCAUCGCUCAACGGAUAAAAGGUACUCCGGGGAUAACAGGCUGAUACCGCCCAAGAGUUCAUAUCGACGGCGGUGUUUGGCACCUCGAUGUCGGCUCAUCACAUCCUGGGGCUGAAGUAGGUCCCAAGGGUAUGGCUGUUCGCCAUUUAAAGUGGUACGCGAGCUGGGUUUAGAACGUCGUGAGACAGUUCGGUCCCUAUCUGCCGUGGGCGCUGGAGAACUGAGGGGGGCUGCUCCUAGUACGAGAGGACCGGAGUGGACGCAUCACUGGUGUUCGGGUUGUCAUGCCAAUGGCACUGCCCGGUAGCUAAAUGCGGAAGAGAUAAGUGCUGAAAGCAUCUAAGCACGAAACUUGCCCCGAGAUGAGUUCUCCCUGACUCCUUGAGAGUCCUGAAGGAAC
rnacentral:rRNA from 1 species